UACAGAGGGUGCGAGCGUUAAUCGGAAUUACUGGGCGUAAAGCGUGCGCAGACGGUCAUGUAAGUCGGGUGUGAAAGCCCCGGGCUCAACCUGGGAAUUGCAUUCGAGACUGUGUGGCUAGGGUGCGGAAGAGGGAAGCGGAAUUUCCGGUGUAGCGGUGAAAUGCGUAGAUAUCGGAAGAAACACCAGUGGCGAAAGCGGCUUCCUGGUCCAGCACCGACGUUCAGGCACGAAAGCGUGGGGAGCAAACAGG
rnacentral:rRNA from 1 species